rnacentral:rRNA from 1 species
UACGUAGGGUGCGAGCGUUAAUCGGAAUUACUGGGCGUAAAGAGUGCGUAGGCGGUUUCUCAAGUCCGCUGUGAAAUCCCCGGGCUCAACCUGGGAAUGGCAGUGGAAACUAGGAGACUUGAAUCUGGCAGAGGGGGGUGGAAUUCCACGUGUAGCAGUGAAAUGCGUAGAUAUCAAGAGGAACACCAGUGGCGAAGGCGAGUCCCUGGACAACUUCUGACGCUGAGGCACGAAAGCUAGGGGAGCAAACAGG